rnacentral:rRNA from 1 species
UACGUAGGCAGCAAGCGUUGUUCGGAGUUACUGGGCGUAAAGGGUGUGUAGGCGGCCCCCUAAGUUUGGUGUGAAAUCUCCCGGCUUAACCGGGAGGGUGCGCCGAAGACUGGAGGGCUAGAGUGCGGGAUGGGAGAGUGGAAUUCCAGGUGUAGCGGUGAAAUGCGUAGAUAUCUGGAGGAACACCGGUGGCGAAGGCGGCAUCCUGGACCGGCAUUGACGCUGAGGCGCGAAAGCUAGGGGAGCAAACGGG